rnacentral:tRNA from 1 species
UGGCGUGUUAGGCAAGCGGUGAAGCCACAGGACUUUCAAUCCUGCAACACGAGUUCAAAUCUCGUACACGUCAU